UACGGGGGGAGCAAGCGUUAUUCGGAAUUAUUGGGCGUAAAGGGCGCGUAGGCGGCACGGCAAGUCAGGAGUGAAAGGCCUGGGCUCAACCGAGGAACUGCUUUUGAGACUGCCGAGCUAGAGUGCAGAAGGGGCAACUGGAAUUCCCAGUGUAGCGGUGAAAUGCGUAGAUAUUGGGAAGAACACCUGAGGCGAAGGCGGGUUGCUGGGCUGACACUGACGCUGAGGCGCGAAAGCCAGGGGAGCAAACGGG
rnacentral:rRNA from 1 species